GUGAUCAGGACUGAGCACAGACGACUCACCAUGGAGCUAGCAAUGAGCUGGGUGUUCUUGUUUGUAAUUUUCAAUGGUGUCCAGGGUGAGGUGACGCUGGUGGAAUCAGGAGGAGGUUUAAUACAGCCUAGCGGGUCCCUGACACUCUCCUGUGCAGCCUCUGGAUUCACCAUUAGUAGCUAUGGCAUGAACUGGAUUCGCCAGGCUCCAGGGAAGGGGAUGGAGUGGAUCGCAUACAUGUAUACCGCAAGUACUACGUACUAUGCAGAUGCCCUGAAGGAUCGAUUCACCAUCUCCAGAGACAAUGCUAAGAACAUGCUGUAUCUGCAAAUGAGCAGCCUGAGACCCGAGGACACUGCCAUGUAUUACUGUGCAAGAAACACAGUGAAGAAAUGCCUCCAUGAGCCCAAACAAAAACCUCCUUGUAGGGACGCCAGUACCCAGCAGGUGGCACUGUGCCAUUUUGAGAAAUAG